CUGUUCCCAUGUCGAACACAGUAGUUAAGCUUCUUAGCGCCGAUAGUAGUUGGUGGGAAACUACCUGCGAGGAUAGGACGUUGCCACGC
rnacentral:rRNA from 1 species